AUAGUAGAGAAGAUAUGAGAAGUUUGAUGUUCCAAUGGCCUACACUUAGAGCAACAAUGAUUGAUGUUGCAAUAGCUUGGUCUGCAAGUUUUUACCGCUACCAUUUGUUCUUGACUUCUUUCAUGGGUUUUGGUUAGUAUAUGCAGGGAUUUGUUCUUUGGUUGGUUUACAAGAGGGAACUUUACUAUGAAAAAGGGAAGAAGCUUGGGAAAAAAAAGAACAAGAGAAGAUCAUGAUCAGCUAAAAUUGAGUAAUAUUGAUUUUUUUUAAUGAAUUAUGUUACUAUUUUGCAUCGUCUCUCCAUUUGAAUCUUUUUCAGGAUUGUGAAGUAGAGCAUGAACACGAGUAUUGGAAAUAUGUAGAGGAAGGAUAAACCUGAGAGAGACACUACUUUGCCAACCGAGAUAUGCCAGAAACUUGAAGACGAUUUGAGCUAGUGAUAUCAAUUAGAGGACCAGAUGGUCCAGAUUCAUCCAAUCAUUGAUAAAGAGCCCGUACCAACCUGAUAAACGAAGAUACAUCAAAACACGAAGAGUACCUGAUCAGCCUCUUCCACAUCUAGUUUAAACUGCAUACAUGCAUACAUGCAUACAUGCAUACAUUCAUAUAUGCAUACACAUGCAUAUAUCAUACAUUCAUGCAUAUAUUUGCUUUCUUGAUUUUUUUAUUAGAUCAUUGCUUGC
rnacentral:sRNA from 1 species